rnacentral:rRNA from 1 species
CACGCCCUAAACGAUGUCGACUGGGUGUUGGGAGAGAGAUCUCUUGGUACCGUAGCUAACGCGUGAAGUCGACCGCCUGGGGAGUACGGCCGCAAGGUUAAAACUCAAAGGAAUUGACGGGGACCCGCACAAGCGGUGGAUGAUGUGGAUUAAUUCGAUGCAACGCGAACAACCUUACCUACCCUUGACAUGUCACUAACGAAGCAGAGAUGCAUUAGGUGCCCGAAAGGGAAAGUGGACACAGGUGCUGCAUGGCUGUCGUCAGCUCGUGUCGUGAGAUGUUGGGUUAAGUCCCGCAACGAGCGCAACCCUUGCCGAUAGUUGCUACGCAAGGGCACUCUAAUGAGACUGCCGGUGACAAACCG